rnacentral:SRP_RNA from 1 species
GCCAGGCGCAGUGGUGCGUGCCUGUAGUCCCAGCUACCUGGGAGGCUGAGGUGGAAGGAUCUCUUGAGUCCAGGAGUUCUAGCAGUGUGCAAUGCCAAUUAUGUGUCUGCACUAAGUUUGGCAUCGGUAUGGUGACCUCCCAGGAGCAGGGGAACACUAGGUUGCCUAAGGAGGAGCCAACCCGACCAGGUUGGAAACGGAGCAGGUCAAAACUCCCGUACUGAUCAGUAGUGGGAUCACACCUGUGAAUAGCCACUGCACUCCAGCCUGGGCAACAUAGCGAGACCUCCUCUCU